GAAAAACAAUAAGCGAAGACGAUGAUUAGCAUACUCACCCAGGAGCGGCUACUUGGAGCUACACUGGGAGUGGUAUUGACCGGCGCGGUGGUUCUGGAGCAGCGAAGAAACAUCUACUCUUCCAUCUCCAACGUCCAAUCUCAAUCUCAGGAAGCUAAUUUAUUCCUAGUUUAAAUCUUAUGAGGGU